rnacentral:sRNA from 1 species
AUCCCUGGGAGAGCAGAAACAUAUUAAAGUGUGAGGAACUGUGCCUCUCAAACUUUGUGACAUAUUAAAAUCACCUGGAAAGCUUUAAAAGGCCCCAAAUGUCCAGGCCACAAUCUCAUACCAAUGAAUUCAGGAUUGCUAAGGAUGGCUAAUGUAUAUGUAUGUGUGUGUGUGUGUGUGUGUGUGUGUAUGUUUUUCAGGUGACUCCAAUGUGUAUAGAUACCGAGUACAGGCUCCAUAUUAGAAUUACCUGGGGAGUCUUUAAAUAGCCUGACACUUGACCCCUGCUCUUAGAAAGUCUGAUUUAAUUGGUCUGGGAUGGCAGCAAAAAUAUUUCUAGAAGAUUCAAAUAUGUUGCCAGCUACAGCCUCUGUUGAAAAUGUUAGUCCAGCUUCAUUAAAGGGUCACAGGCUUAAAAAUAUUGCCACACACUUAUAGAUCUGGUCUUGGGGCUUUGAUAUUCAAUCUCCUUACAUGUGAUUGAAACUGUGCUUGUAUUUUUUUUAUAUGAAUCCAAAUAUUUGUGUGUGCCUUUAGUUCUCUAAAACAAAAAGAAAAAAGUUUCUUUUGAAAAAUUUAACCACGGGGCUGGAGAGAUGGCUCGGUGGUUAAAAUUACAGUUUGUUCUUCUUCAGGUGGCGAGUUCAAUUCCCAGCGCCCACGUGGAGGCUCAUUAGCAGCUGUAACUGUAUUCUCAUGUAAGUCCUGUGGAAUCCGAUGCCCUCUUCUGGUAUGCAAACACGAAUGGGAACAAAAUAUCCAACAUAUACAAAUGCAUAAGCAAAUAAACGUUAAGAAAAGAGAAAUUAACUUCACUAGAGCUGAGUUCGUGGACAGAAGUGCUGAAUUACACCCGGGCCUCAGGAGAAGCUAUGGAGUUGAGAGGAACGGAGGACUAGAGAAUGAAGUGGUUCUAAAGAAGAGUUUCUGGCUUAGCAAAUAAACGACAAGUAGCCCAGUUAAAGAAAGCCCGGAAUUCCCAGUCUUGGAAGAUCCACUGGUGCGUAGAGCUUUCUCCGGGUCUUUGUUGGCUUUGCCACCUGAGGUAAGACUCACCUGUUUGUGUAGAGCCUUGUCUGUGGGAGAUCUGCUAUCCCGAGUUCUCCAGGAGUUACUCCAGCCAAAGUGUGUGUGUGUCCACAGCUGAGUCUUGUGGAAAGUGCCUUUGGACUUCAUUCUGACAGGCUCUUGGCAAUCCUUGGGGUUGAAUUUCCAGGAAGUUCCUCAGAAGUGCCUUCUUCUCCAGCUGCUACUUGCUCAGUUCAGGAAAACUGUGCCCCAAAGAGAGGGUUAGCUAGUCAUGUUGAGUGGUGGUAGAUCAGACAUGGGGAGGACAGGAGGCUAGAGAGGAAAGCUGUGUUCACCAGUUACCGCUUUAACAUUUCCCUCAAGGGCUGCACCAGGUCUGAGCCCUGCGUGUCUGGCUUUUGGCGGAGGCUGCUGCACUGAAACCUGUUUUGAUAGGAAAAAGAGCAGUUUCCUAUCCCAUUCUGCUUGGAACAGCUCAUCCCGUGAUGGAAUGGGAAGGGGGUUGAGGGAUAGAGAAAGGGAGGCUGAGAAUAGGAAAGAAAGUUGCUAGCAAGAGAAGCACAGCCUCUACAAAAUUGUGGAAGAUGAGCUAUCUAUUAUCUAUCUAUCUAUCUAUCUAUCUAUCUAUCUAUCUAUCUAUCUAUCUAUCUAUCUAUCUAUCUAUCUAUCUAUCUAUCCCAUCCAUCCAUCCACCCACCAUCCAUCUGCACACUGUCAAUUACAUGGCUAGGGCUGUUAGGUAAGAUAUGGGUUGACCAGAAACUGUCCCUGGGCUUAUUCUUCCAACCUAUCCUAAGAUGAUCUAGGCUGGUAUUGAUCUGUUGCUUAAAGCAGCAACAUUCCUCAGCCAAUGAGCUUCAAGAGGAGGAGCAUA